ACUGGGAGUUGUGGCGUGCUCCUGUAAUCUAGCUACUUGGAGGUCUGGGUUGGUGGACGGCUUGAGGCCAGGGGUUCUGCUUGGCGUCUAUCUAUGUUGAUCGGGUGUCCGCACUAAGCUCGGCAUCAAUAUGGUAACUCCGGCGGAGGCCAGAGUGACCAGGUUGACUAAGGAGGACCGUACUGGGCCAGGGCAGAAAUGCAGCAGCCAAAAGGUCCCGUGUCGAGCAGUAUGGUGGGAUCGCGUCCGUGAAUAGGAGGCGUUUGGUAGCCUGACCGAUAUAGUCGGACCUAAUCCUCU
rfam:Lingula anatina scaffold523, whole genome shotgun sequence.